AUUGAACGCUGGCGGCAGGCCUAACACAUGCAAGUCGAGCGGAAACGAGUUAUCUAAACCUUCGGGGAACGAUAACGGCGUCGAGCGGCGGACGGGUGAGUAAUGCCUAGGAAAUUGCCAUGAUGUGGGGAUAACCAUUGGAAACGAUGGCUAAUACCGCAUGAUGCCUACGGGCCAAAGAGGGGGACCUUCGGGCCUCUCGCGUCAGGAUAUGCCUAGGUGGGAUUAGCUAGUUGGUGAGGUAAGGGCUCACCAAGGCAACGAUCCCUAGCUGGUCUGAGAGGAUGAUCAGCCACACUGGAACUGAGACACGGUCCAGACUCCUACGGGAGGCAGCAGUGGGGAAUAUUGCACAAUGGGCGCAAGCCUGAUGCAGCCAUGCCGCGUGUGUGAAGAAGGCCUUCGGGUUGUAAAGCACUUUCAGUCGUGAGGAAGGUAGUGUGUUUAAUAGAUGCAUUAUUUGACGUUAGCGACAGAAGAAGCACCGGCUAACUCCGUGCCAGCAGCCGCGGUAAUACGGAGGGUGCGAGCGUUAAUCGGAAUUACUGGGCGUAAAGCGCAUGCAGGUGGUUUGUUAAGUCAGAUGUGAAAGCCCGGGGCUCAACCUCGGAAUAGCAUUUGAAACUGGCAGACUAGAGUACUGUAGAGGGGGGUAGAAUUUCAGGUGUAGCGGUGAAAUGCGUAGAGAUCUGAAGGAAUACCGGUGGCGAAGGCGGCCCCCUGGACAGAUACUGACACUCAGAUGCGAAAGCGUGGGGAGCAAACAGG
rnacentral:rRNA from 1 species